rnacentral:lncRNA from 1 species
AUGGAGUCGGCUCCCUCCGGCUACACUCUGAGCGGGGAAAUGGGUGAAAAUUGCGCGAGGAGAGAGCAAUCUGGGGGCCCUUUGGCUGCGAGUACAGGGUUAGCAAAUGGCGCUGAAAGGCUCUUAAGUGGGACGGCCGGAAACCAGCCCAUUUACAUAUCUGAGUUUAGCAGUUAUCAAAGGGGCCCCCUUGGGGGAGGCUUCUGCAGAGUACAAGCAUGUGCUCCAAGGCAGGAUCUCGUCUCUAUGGAAGAAGAGCAUCCCUGGGCUUGUCCUUGGGUCUUUGUGCCCCAGAGGAGCUGCUCCCAGAAUGCUUCCUGGAUGGAGAGCUCUGAGCUCCCAGGAUCACCUGUGGGCACAGAGGAAGAAAAGAGGGAGGGCCUCCCUGAUGCUCGCAGGCCUCAGGGAAUUCUCCCCCUGGGCCCAGGCCAGUGGGCUGGGAUUCCUUCAUCCAGGGGAGCUCCCAGGAGUGGGAAGUCCCUCCCCUCCAAGACCGAUAGCCACCCCCCCCCCCAUCCUGGGAGCUGCAGAAAGUGCCCGAGGGGAGAGGACCCAGGAGGCUCAUCCCAUCCCUGCCCCUUUCGUGGGCAUCUCAGAAGAAUGGAUACAAAGAUCCGGGACUCUCAUUGCCUGCCCUGUAGGGCAGCUGGGAGCCACAGACUUCCUACACAGAGUGAGGCGCUCUGUCGGGAACCCGGGCCUUGUGCAUUCCCUGCUAGGCAUCGAGGACUUUCCUGCUCCUUUGCUCGUCUCCAUUGGCAGCCACUGCUUUUGUGGGCUAGACCAGAAGGCAGGGCUGCCUGCAGGAUGGUGCCGUUGGCGUCCCACCCGCUGCAUGCCUCGUGCCCCCAGAAGACUUGCUACCUCCUUGGCACCCAAAGCCCUGAUCGCGACAAGGUUCCGGGCCAGGCACCAGCGGGGCCCUGGGUUCUCCCGCUCCCUGCCGCGUGUGCUCUUCCCCUUCAGGGUCCUGGAGAGCAGGAAUGCUGGUUUCUUUUUCCUCCUUGUAGCCCUGCUGCUGAGCACGAAGCUUGGCACCAAUAA